rnacentral:rRNA from 1 species
UGGGGGAUAUUGCACAAUGGGCGAAAGCCUGAUGCAGCGACGCCGCGUGGGGGAUGAAGGCCUUCGGGUUGUAAACUUCUUUUGCUCUGAACAAGGCAUGCCUUUGGGGUGUGUUGAGUGUAGGGGUUGAUUAGCGCCGGCUAACUACGUGCCAGCAGCCGCGGUAAUACGUAGGGCGCGAGCGUUGUCCGGAAUUAUUGGGCGUAAAGGGCUUGUAGGUGGCUGGUUGCGUCUGUCGUGAAAGCUCAUGGCUUAACUGUGGGUUUGCGGUGGGUACGGGCUGGCUUGAGUGCAGUAGGGGAGGCUGGAAUUCCUGGUGUAGCGGUGGAAUGCGCAGAUAUCAGGAGGAAUACCGGUGGCGCAGGCGGGUCUCUGGGCUGUUACUGACGCUGAGGAGCGAAAGCGUGGGGAGCGAACAGG